GUAAUCCCUAGAUACGUGGAAUGUGGUGUUUCCAGUGUGUUCUAGUAUAUUUCAGCAUAUUCAUAGUAUUCUGUAUCCAUAGUGUUGUAGUUAACAACAUAUCCCAUAUAUGGAGAUUACUCGGGCAACGAUUUGUUAGCGUGUGCGUUGCAUAGAGCUUGUAUCCCUGGACCCUGUAUCCCUGGAAGCAUAUAUGCUAUAUAAGAUGGUGUGUUGCUACAAUAAAAUUGGACGCAUCUCAUAUUGAGUUGAUCGUGCGUUCCCCACGCGAGUACCGGUAGGGCAACCCUUUUGGGGAAACUUGGGGCGUUCCCCAACAGGGUUUACUAUUAUUUUUCCUAAUGCCUUGAAAGUUAUGCUUUAGAAAACUUGAUUUAAGACAACAUUUCAGUUUGAUACUUGAAAAGCUUAUAAAACUAGAAGAGAAGGAAGAAAACUUGUUGUAUCCAGUUUACAAAAUAUUUUGCCAUUGAUUUAUGCUUCUGUCUUUGAAAAUGUAGUUUAAAAUCUGUCCUUGAAAACAUGGAUCAUUUCAUACUGCCAAGUAUUAUCCAGAUAGCUUAAGUCUUACUUAUGUCUCUUGUUAGUGUUGUGAACUCAGUUUGCAUUUCCUGAAUCAAGAUAUGGAAAUCUUUAAAAUGAGGGAAGUUUAAGAUACACAGUUAGACUUGAUGUCUCCUAUGAAUUUUACAAGUGGGCUAACACUGCAGUAAAUUAACUGCCAAAUUCAAGUUUGCAUAUUUUUCCAUGCUACUACUCAUAUUCUGCUGAAUUUUGUGCCAGUGUCCUAGGGUAGAGUGUUGACCAUCAGGCACGCAAAGCACUGCCCUAUUAACUAAAAUGUAUGGAUCCCACGCAAAGCACUGCCCUAUUAACUAAAAUGUAUGGAUCCCACGGCCAGGAUUUGCUAUUGACAGUGCUUUGUAAGACCUGUAAAGUUAUCACAGAAGCUCUAAGUUACUCUGAAAUUAGUCCCUUACAAUAGCAUGUAGCUACUUGUUGACUAGUUUAUACAAGGUAUUAUGCCAUUUUUAAAGCCAGUUUAUAAAUUUAAGAUAUGAAGCAACUUACUGAUUCAUAUUUGAGUGCUAUAAAAUCAAUCAGUGCAAACAGCUUCAGUAAAUAAUUUAGACACAAUAAGAAAGCAAAAAGGAGGAAGAAUAAUACUGACAACUGAUAAGAGCUAUUAUAUGAAACAACAAGUAUUUGAACAUCCUUCAUAGUUUCUAUGCUUAUAAAACACCAUUUAGUAGCUAAUGCUAUAAAUUAUUUCUCAUGAACUUGAAAAAAGUACAGUGGAUUUGUCAAAAUUGAUUUUUAUGUGAGUUAUGAUUAGACAGGGAAAUACUGCUACUGCCUUGCUGGAAGGACCCAAGUAAGAAUUUUAUGAUUAAAACCCUGCCCAUAUAGUCAUUCUCCAAUAUGUUAUACCUGUAUUUAGAAGACCUAUUUCCUCAUAAAUCUUCUGCAUUUCUAGUUGUCUCAUGAAGACUUUCCAAACCUCCUGGGUUUUGUCGUCGUAACAGCUUAAUUUAUCUCAUUUCAACUUCCAUGAAGAAAAAUUGUCAGGGAACUCUAAAAUCCCCCUAGACAUUUGUUUUCUUUUGGUAAUGCUGUGCUUAUACCUGACACUUUAUUUUUUUUUUUUAAGUUCUUUGAUUUACUGGACUGAAUUAAUUGCAUUUAUCCUCAGUCUGAAGGGCAACGAUGAGAUAACAUUCAUGUGACCCAAACCAAGUUACAGAGAUGUGGCAUGGUCAAAGGGCAGAUGGACUACAGCAAAACAGAAGUGGAUCCAUAGUGCCCCCUGGAACUUGCAAUGCUACCUUUCUGCCAAGAUUUGUCAUUGUAUGAAACCAGGGAUGAGAUGUUUGAGUCUGGAGAUGUGACUGACUAUGGAACAGUAUACUUUACACACAGUGGUGGUUUCUCCUUAAUGUUUGGAAGACUAGAUGAUGAUUGAUGAACUACCUUCUCUAGUAAUGCCGGGAUUUUUUUUCUUUGGAUUGGACAUAAUGGAAAUAUAUGCAGUUUCUCCAGCAUUUUUUAGCCCUUGGGAAGUGAAGGCCUUUAAAAAAGAAUGAAGGAAGCAAUGUCUUACCUUUUAAAAAUAAUGUGUUUCACACUGUGGUAUUAACUUUAUAAAUAGAAGAUCCUUGGAAUAUAGAGAUACGAAUGCAGUUGUCUGACAUAAUAAAGCUCAAACUAGGCUCCAGUAUUUUAAUAAGAAAUCAUUAGAUUGAACUACUUUGGGUGAAAUCUUUCCCCGUUGAAGCUGACUGCAAAAUUCCCUUGACUUCGGACAGCAAAAAAAGAAAUCUCUGCAAGACCACUAUUAAGCUGCACUAAUGGCUAAAAGCCCUCCACUCUCUAUGCCCCACCCCACCUGUACUGUGUGGGAAUACAAGAAAAACUAUUCAUAGCAGAAGCUGCGGAGCAAGAUAAACAGCAUGAGAACGCAAGGCUGAGAUCCAACGACUUCUCUAGAAAGAAGAGAAAAGCAAAGUCAAUUUUCCACUGUGACCAGUGCUAGAUAUGAAGGUGGUUGUGGAAAGCUUUGAGCAGAAACUGUUCAAGUCCUGGUUCAGCCUUCCACUGCUCAAGUUGCAUUUACACAACAUGCUCAUAACAUAUUCAUAGAUAUCCAAGGUACCUCUGAGCAAAGUGGUUCAAGUACUGGAAGCAGUUUAACCUCAAAAUAAGUAACACUCUUCAGGCUACUUUGAAGUGCUAAACACCUCAAUUACUCUAUUACAUGUUAAGUGAAAGCAUAUUCCGCCUGUUAAGGAUACGCGAUGUAUAUUGUACUUAAAUUUGGUAUAGCUGCAAGUUGUCUCUGUGGCUUAAGUACAAAUUAUUGGAAAUUGGCACUGGCACAGGCUGCGCAGGCAGGUGGUGGAGUCACUGUCCCUGGAGGUGUUCAAGAAAUGUGGAGAUGGGGCACUGAGGGACAUGGAUUAGUGGGCACGUUGGGGAUGGGCUGGCAGUUGGACUAGGUGAUCUUCGAGGUCUCUUCCAACCUCAAUGAUUCUAUGAUUCUAUGAAAUCUGUGGGUUUUCUGCUUUUGGGAGCUACGUAGGAGUGCCUGGGUAGUCGGGCAGCGUAGGAAAAAGACAGAUGGGCACUGCCUCAUGCCCACCUGCGUGACGGCGGGAAAUGUCAUACCAACAACACCCCGAAAGCACUGAGAGCAACAUUUGCACAAGGACUCUGUUGUAACAAAGAACAUCAGUCUGUUAACAGCUUCACAGAGGCCACAAUAGAGGAUUAUGAGUCUGAUUAAUCUUGUUUAAUUACAAGUUCUUAUUAGGCUCACAGCCAUUUUGGACAACAAGCUGUAAUGCAGCAGAGCAGUCACCGCCUGCUGUAUGAGCAGACGUACAAGCAUGUGCAGUUCCUGUGACUCCUCCUUGUCUGGAAACUGCAUUCAAAAACUGUGGUAUUGUCAUAUAGAAAACAUAAAAUAGUUAAUAUCCUUUCACCUUGUUUUACAUAAGCCUCAUUUCAACAGUUUGAGAUUUUGUCUUACCCAACACAGUGUUUUGCACAGAACAUACAUAAUUUUUCUGGAAAAAAUUUUGGACAUUUUUUUUUCGUUUUUUGGCAGUUUACUCAGAUACUUUGGUGAUUUUAAUCUUUAUAAUUAGAUAUAUAAAAAUUUGCAAAAACAGAUAUUGUUAUUUUGCAUACAUGUGAAUUUUAUAACAAGUGUGCAUAUGGGGAUGAUUGCAAUGAUUGGAACAGGCUUCCCAGAGAAGCUGUGGAUGCCCCACCUCUGGUGGUGUCAAGGCCAGGUUGAAUGGGACCCUGGGCAGCCUGAGCUGGUGGGGGCAACCAGCCCACAGAAGGGGGUUGGAGCUUGAUGAUCUUCAAGGUCCCUUCCAACCUAAGUCAUUUUAUGAUUCCAUGUUUCUAUGAAGCAUGAAGCUUUUUGCAAAUCCUUUCAUUAUUGUGCACAUCUUUAUUCCUGAUAGUAGUAGGCUAAAAUUCUUGUUCAAGGAGAGCUAUGUAUUAAAAUAUACAAUGUGUAUGUCAGCUUGUCUAUCAUUUGUCCUGCCUCAAAAGUCUUACUCUGUUUUUACAACAUGCACUAUCUGAAAAAUACUCCCAUUGGUGCUGAACACACAGUGGUAGAGAUAAGAAAUCAAACCCUCAGGCACUUUUAAAACAAUUGCAUUUAAAUCUGUUUAGUAAACUCAUCUAAAAAUAAAGCAAACUACUUGUAAAGUCUGACCUUGCUGAAGGAAUUUAUUUUAAAAUGUAAAGAAAAGAAUAUUAAUAACUGAGCAACUGAUAUGCUUCUGUCCCUAAAACCUCCACUUGCCAUAUCUAUCUGCAGAUUUACACAUCCAGGAUUAGUUUACAAGGAUGUUGGAAGCAUGUUGGUAUCCUGCAUGCCAUAAAAACUACAUGUGAGCAAAAUGAAUUAAUUACUAAGUCAUAUGUUAACUUCCCAGUGAAUGUGGGGCAUUCAGAAAAUCUUCCCUCAGUACAGAGUCAUCUUUUUUGUUUUUGUUGCCAUGCUGUCUCACUAUCCUUUUUGCAAAUCAUCUUAUCUCCAGCACUAAAUGUAAUUAAGGGCCUUUUCAAAAUAACAGUUGAAUGAUCUGAUUUUUAUCUUUUGUCAUGGCAAAGAAUAUCUGAGCAAACAGAGCAUUCGACUAGCUCAAAAAAGGUCACAAUUGCUAUUUCAUAUUAUCAUUAUUGCAGCUGCUUCACCUGGGUAGUAUGUCUUUACUUACAAUGUACCUGUACUUUCAAGUACCCUGUAAGUCCUUUUUCUUCUGUUGACAACGUAUAAAUUACAAAAAUGUCUCAAAGAAAGCAGAGCUUUUGUAAGACACAGUGUGACUCCACAGAACAACAUUCUGAUAAUCUAAAAAGUCAACUGUAAACCACUUAUAGGGGACCACAUCACUUUAUAUUUCCAUUUCCUGAGAGAAAGCCUCUUAGAAUCAUAGACUCACAGAAUCCAUAAUAGAACAAUUGUAAAUAGAUUCUUCACAGGUCUGCUUGUCCAACUGUUGUGUCUGCACUAUCAUUUUAGAGAGGUUCAUUUCAACCUCAGAUUAGUUGAUAGCCUCACUCUGCUGACUGCAAGGGAAGGGAGCUCCAAAUAGACCUUAUCGGGCUGCCUCCCUGCUGGGCCAUGGGCCAGGUAGUAUCUGAAGGCAGUUGGGAGGUUACAGGUGUCAUAGGUGAAUGUGGUUGCUACCUCAUGGUAGAAGAGUCAGGCUUAAUUUUUUCUGGAGAGCAGCAGAUUCAAUUCCUGAAUAAAUGGAGCUGGAGGCAAUGUGGAUAUGCAACAGAUUUGUUCUUUGCCCACAAGAAAAUCACUUCAUAUUUCUUGCUGUGGUGAAAUGGAUUUAACUGCUCACCAUGAACAGAAGGGACUGAUUUAUGUUUUCUGAAGAAUUUCGUGCAAGCUGCCAGCUCUUUCAAGUCAUCCAUUUUUCAGCACCUUCUGAAUGCAAAACUGGCUGAGCUGUGAUGAUUUUUAGCUGGUGAUGCCCAAGUUGAUCCAAAGAAAUGAAUCAAGGUUUCUUCAGCUUGCCUUCAGAGAGGGAUCAUAUCAGAGGAGAGCAGACUGUCUUAGAAACAAUUCUUAAGCAGAGCUGAGAGGGAGCUGAAAGAAGAUACAACAAAGUGGAAAAAAAAUAUCAAGAAAGAGCUAUGUGUUCACAUUCUCCACAGAUUCCUGCUGAGAAGAUGCAUCAUGAAGAGCAACAGUAUAGCAAGGAUCAUUUCAGAUUCCUCUCAGCCAUUUCUUUCUAUGGAUAGACUUGGCCACAGCUCCUGGCUCCCGUCAUACUGCUCUUCAGCCUGCUUCUGUUUCUUCUAGGCAAUUUCUGCAGCUAGAGUACCUACUUCCCAGCAGCUGCUGUCUGAGAUGCAUAUGAAGAACUUACUUGUUUUGGUCAGAACACAUGCACCCGUUCCUCAGCUGCUUCUUUACCUUGGUAGGCAAAACCUAACCAAAACCCCAGACUGACAACAAGACAGUGCUGUAUACAAACAAUGCCUUAUACAGCUGAACCACAAAAAGGAAUGUUGCUCACAUGGAGGAAUGAGGGACAUGAAGAAGACUGGGGGAUUAUAUUCCUUACACUAACAUGAAGGUCUGCUAGAAACACCAUAGGAGGCAAGCUAAAGAAGCUUUAACAGAAAUAGCAGUGCAACAGAAAUGUCAUGACCCAAGGAUCCAAGGGAACAGAACAAUGGGAAAAUUGUCCCUUUUAUGUAUCCUUUAAAUAAAAGAAUAUUGAGAGGUGGCUUUCACAACUUGCACAAAACAUAGUUUCUGUGAAAAAUAAAGGCUUUUGCUAAGGAUGGAUGAUUUAGAUCCAGGAGCUAGUGCCAUAUGCUUCUGUAUCAUGUCAGUGAUGUGAAAUGAACAAUAUAGCAUUAAAUUCAAACAAACUGCAUAAAAAUGUUGUCUAGAAUUUUUUUAGAUUGUUCUUAAAAUUCUGGAAAAUUUACCUAAUUCAUUAUCAUUAAAUAAGUAUGUGUCUGAAACAGGAAUCUGUCAAAUAUUGGAUAAAAAUAUUCACUCCAGCUACCAAGCCUUAAAUCAUCAAAAUUUCAUUCAUAGCAACGAGUUUCAAUGUGAAAUUAUAACAUUUAAUAUAAUCAAAUAAUAUAAUACCUGACUGUUGUAGAGUGCUUUAUUUUUUUCCAGCUGUACAUGUCAUGAUCCUUUAGAAAGAAAGUCAGCAUCAUUAAAAUUAAUGAGCAGGUUUAGAACUGGGUGACUAAGGUAUCACAUGUUCAGAAAUGCUUGCAAAAUUUGUUGCUGUGUGCUUGCAUUCAUACAGUGCAAAGGUAGAGAAUUACUGCUUGUUUUUAUCAAACACAUGGUGACAGGGGGAAAAUAUCAUUUCCCCCAGGUGUGCUUUCAUAGCAUACUAUUGGAAGUCUGUUUGUUUUCUGUGCCCUCUACUGACUUUUGCAACUACUGCUUUUUUAACAUCUCUGCAGCUGCUUUCUCAUUCUAUCAUUUUCUUUGAAUGACUUUGUAGUCUGUCAUCUUUUAGAGUAACUAGGUAACUGAUAGGGAAAAAAAAGGCUUCAUUCUGAUAUAUUUACACAUACAAAGAUAACACCUGGAAAACGAUCUCUUUUACAUCUCUUCUUCAUUCAGCUGUCAGUCCUCUACAUCGGGCAGAGGCAGGGAAUCACAUCCAGUCUUAUAAAGCCAGUUUUCUCUGAGGCAUUUGCAGAACUAUGACGCUUAUUUCUGUCAGCUUAUUUGAAAACAAAAGGUCGUAGUAACAUACAAGAACAUGCAUGUGGUCAUGCACACACAUUCUUGCAUAUGUGCUAUCUUUCAUUAUUUGUCAGGAUUGAAAAUGUGGGAAAGCAUUCACUGUAUAGAUAAUCCAUUAAUGUUCCUUCAAGCUUCUGAAACAGAUAUGAGUUUUUUUCACAGGUUAUGAAUAAAUAUAUCCCCUACAAUAACUGCAUUUUCUUUACAUUACUAUUUAUCCUAGUGAGAGAAUUGUGGUGAAGACCACCACAUCAGAUAUUCCAUUCGUAACUUGUCGCCUUGCCCGCAAGGACUACUUUCCAUCCCUGGCCACCUUGUCGCAUUUACACGUCAAUAUGAUGAGCAGCAAAAUGGCGUUUAUUGUUAAAAGUUACAGAACUAUAUAGUAUAUCUUAUCUUUUACUAGACUGUUCCAGAAGCUCACGCAGGCCCCUGGCCAAUCAUACUGAAUCUCCCGCUCUGGCCACUCACUUCCAAAAGACCAUACAUGGAGUUGUUGUGCCCUUUGUUAUGAAAACAAAGAAGGACAGCCUCUCCUUCUUAUGUCACGGGUUCAAGUAAAGUAGGUGAACCAAUAGCAAGCAUAUGAGGAAAGGCCUUCCCCGUCACAUACCCGAGUGCCCCGUAACACGCCUGAUACAACAGAGAAUGUGGAAUACUUGGUUAUCUAUAUGGAGAACAAAAAUAACAGAAACACUUCUCACUACUUUUAGAGAAGUAAAGUUAAUGUAAGUAUCUGCUCUUCUCCAUGUAGAUAAACUGCAGCAUAAGUUCAGCCAUCCAGUCCUUAGUGUAAGCAAGAGCCACAUCAGCAGUUCACUCUUUCUUGAAUUCCUCUUGAAUAAAAUGCAUCACUAAACUUUUCUAUACCUGAUGCUUAAGAAAGAAAGAAAGGAAACAAGAAAGACAGUUACAUUUCCUUUAUAAAAAGGAUCUUACUUUUUUUAACCAAAACUUACCCACAUUAAUCAAUGCCAUGGAAGUUCAGUGGGCUUUAAGAUAUGGAUGUUUGAAAGGUGCUUUUAAGACACAAAGAAAUAGGUAGUUACGUAACUUGAAGAACAAAAGAAAAAGAGGGCAGAAAAUAUUCAUGGGACCUGUAGGACUAUUAAAGAUUUUAAUGGAAUUUUAUGUGGAUUUUCAAAAAAUCUUUUGGCAUCUUCAAAGUUAAUAUUUGCAGCUAGUGACUUUUCUUACAUUCCUUCAGCCCACCCCAAUGAAAUAACAGGAGAUGUGAUAGAAGCCCUUAGUUAUACACUUUGUAACAAUUUUCCCUUUACUUAUUAUGAAAAUUAAAACACCAAUCCUAGUCAGUUAAUCUGAUGUUCUCACUGAGGGUCAUAUUGAGAACAUUCUUUGGGACCAUUCUUUAUAUGUUCAAAAAUACCCGCUAUCAACAGCAGGGUACUUGGCUUUCACAUUAAUACAGAUCUUCUAUUACUUACAGUAAUGAAGGAUUCAAACAGCUUCAUAAGACUUACUGUUCACAUUUCAUCAGGCUAAAUAUCUAGUCCUAUUUCUGUCAAGACUGCAUUACUAAACGAUCCAGCCAUACAAUUUAUGCUACAGUUUCACUUUACAUUUUACAAUAUAGACACACUCUCUUGAGAUUGCAAUAAUAAUCAUUUUUACUAGGCAAUAUCAUCUUCCCCCAAGCCCAGUGAGGCAGUCCUUCCAAAUGUCUAAGUACACCAACUCACCCCAAACCAUCAAAACAAGCCAAAAUCUACUAACAUCCUCUGACUAUGGGCUUGGUUGGGUUUUGUCCUUCCAUUUUUUUUUAUGCUUAGGAUGUGGGACCACUUAAUUUCAUUACAUUGACUAAUUAUGACAGCAAUAAUCAGUGAAAACACAGAAUCUUUCUGUCAUGUUGCACGUAGAAUGAAAGGUAGCUGAACAGCUACAGCUAUAGUGAGUAAUGCAGUAAGAAAUGGAGAAUCACCCUUGGGUUUCAAUCCCUCUUGUACUAAAGCAAACAACAGUUGUAUUUAUAGUCACUUUACUUUUUUUCAGUCUACAAUUACAGACAAUACUUUAUUACACACAGGAGAAAAAGGAAGAGCUAAACACCUCACUGUGAUUAACUGUGUGGUGGUACCAUUCUACUGAUGUAGUUAAUUCUAAAAUAUGUAUCGUCAGAUACAAGUGUAUAGAUUUCAUCAUCUGAGUCACAGAUACAUUGUUAUUUGAAAAGUGUUGGUUUGAUUUAAGAAAGUUUGCAAACGCAUUAGCAAUGAAGUAUGUAUGUUAAUGAAACAUGAGUAAAUUCAACCACUUCCUUGAAAAUGAAGCUGAGCAUAUUCAAAAGCAAUUUUUUUUGUCACCCCUCUGAAUCUGUGCCUAUAAUGGUAUGAACUUUCUGUUCUAGAGACAAUUAAGGAAGUGUCAGGUAUUCUGCAGUCAACUGAUGCUCGAGAGACAAUGUGGGUAGACACUACAUCAGAACCCUCUCAGCAUUUGCUAUACUAAUACAAGACUGACCUGAUUAUACACCGAGAAGAUCAAAAACUAUUUUUCUAUACUUGACAAAACACCAAACUUAACAUGUUGUGGUUAAACCCGGUAGGCAGUUCAGCACCACACAGCCAUUUGCCCACUCCCCUCUCCCAGUGGAAUGGAAAAGAGCAUUGAAAAGAAACAGAAAGUAGAACUUGUGGGUUGAGAUAAAAACUAUUUUCUAAGGCAGAAAAGGAAGGGAAAAAUAAUAGUAGCAAUAAUAACCUGUUAAUCAACAACUGAAACACUGGUG